rnacentral:rRNA from 1 species
UACGAAGGGUGCAAGCGUUAAUCGGAAUUACUGGGCGUAAAGCGCGCGUAGGUGGUUCAGCAAGUUGGAUGUGAAAGCCCCGGGCUCAACCUGGGAACUGCAUCCAAAACUACUGAGCUAGAGUACGGUAGAGGGUGGUGGAAUUUCCUGUGUAGCGGUGAAAUGCGUAGAUAUAGGAAGGAACACCAGUGGCGAAGGCGACCACCUGGACUGAUACUGACACUGAGGUGCGAAAGCGUGGGGAG